ACCAGAGGAUCUGCAUUGCACCUCUCAUGUGUCACCCGGACCUGAUGAGCCAUACAAGGAAUGUUGGUUAAAGAUGAGAUUUGAAGAACUCACACUGACACAUAUUUAUUGGGCACGACACAAAUGUGCUAUAUUAGUCUCCCUCACACCAGCUCAAAGUAACAUGUACACCAUGGACCAUUCGGUCCCAUAGAUCCCAUAGAUGACUGGGAAGAUUUGGGCCCAUUUAUAAUAGCAUGUUAACGCGCGGCCAAUUGGCAUUAAACAUCUGAUCGAUCC